rnacentral:rRNA from 1 species
UACGGUAGGGCGCAAGCGUUAUCCGGAAUUAUUGGGCGUAAAGAGCUCGUAGGCGGUUUGUCGCGUCUGCCGUGAAAGUCCGGGGCUCAACUCCCGGAUCUGCGGUGGGUACGGGCAGACUAGAGUGAUGUAGGGGAGACUGGAAUUCCUGGUGUAGGCGGUGAAAUGCGCAGAUAUCAGGAGGAACACCGAUGGCGAAGGCAGGUCUCGUGGGCAUUAACUGACGCUGAGGAGCGAAAGCAUGGG